UAAAGAACCUUGCACAUGCACCUUCUCAAGAAGCAGGUGCUGCUGCCUGGGGAUUCUUUCCUGCCGGCUGCCCCCUGCUAUUCAUUAAAAGGUCAAGUAUCAGCAGAUUUUUAAACACACCACAACCUUAUGAAAAUCUGAAACACAGUGGCUGAAGACUGUGAGAAAAAGAGCUACAAAGACAAUUACAAAGAGCUCUCCAAGAAGGCGGAAAGGAGGAAGCAAAGUGGGACAGGUGCCAUGGGACAUAUUCUUCUUUCAUGGACAUAUUGUGAUUCCAGUUCCCACAAGAUGGUCCCAGGUCCCAGGCUCUGGUAACAGCACUCUUUGUCCCACCAGCCCUAGGAGAGGGAGCAGUUCCUGCUGGUGCUAAACUCUGAGCUGCCUCAUCACCUCUGCUAGAACGUCUUAACUCUACUAUCAUCUAUGAAACCAGUUCUCUGCAUUAAAUUUCCUUUCGAAAUACCUAAAGGGCUUUGCGUUUUUCUGGAUAUACAGAGAAUGGUGCCCUAUGCCCUCUUCCCACAGUAAUAAAAAACCACACCA